UGACUAAUAAACAACCUGUACCAGAGCAUGUGAGUCACAUCCUCUCCGUUUAGCUGUGCAAGGUAAGUGGUUGUUUGCAUCAUAGCAGCUACCAUAUAGCCAGCACAAAAGAAAAGAAGGUACAAAUUGGUCAUCUUCACCACCACCAGGAUAAUGGUUUUUUUUGAUGUGCUGGAGGUGUCAGCAAUGCUGUGUUUAGGUGAAAAGUAAUGGA